rnacentral:rRNA from 1 species
UACGUAGGGUGCGAGCGUUGUCCGGAAUUAUUGGGCGUAAAGAGCUCGUAGGCGGUCUGUCGCGUCUGCUGUGAAAUCCCGAGGCUCAACCUCGGGCCUGCAGUGGGUACGGGCAGACUAGAGUGCGGUAGGGGAGAUUGGAAUUCCUGGUGUAGCGGUGGAAUGCGCAGAGUAUCAGGAGGAACACCGGUGGCGAAGGCGGGUCUCUGGGCCGAUACUGACGCUGAGGAGCGAAAGCGUGGGGAGCGAACAGG